UUUGGAAAGAAAGCUGCCCGUAUUGAUGUACGGAAAUACGCCAUUAGCCCCGCAUGUCCGUAUACACCGUCAAUCUCCCGCCGCUCGGCGUGGGAACCCCCAAAUUAUACCGCCGUCUUACCCAUCCGUGACACUUUUCUACGACGGAAACCGAUCCGCGGACAUCGAAAGGAUGGAAUUGUUAUGCUGUAAACGAUUACCUUCACGUUUCAACAAAGUGUUGAUACGGCAAAAGAGGAU